UCCUCACCACAGAAUGAAAUGGAGCUGUGUCCCUCCUCACCACAGAAUGAAAUGGAGCUGUGUCCCUCCUCACCACAGAAUGAAAUGGAGCUGUGUCCCUCCUCACCACAGAAUGAAAUGGAGCUGUGUCCCUCCUCACCACAGAAUGAAAUGAAACUGUGUCCCUCCUCACCAACAUAAUGAAAUGGAGCUGUGUCCCUCCUCACCACAGAAUGAAAUGACGCUGUGUCGCUAGAGUUAGAAAAGUGUAUGACAUGAACCACGCUAGUAAUAUCGUGACCUUGGAAUUAUAUGGUUUUAUCUGCCAAAAUAUGACUCUGAGAUAAUUAGCUGUAAAGUUCCGAACCCUCAUUGAUUUGAAAGGUGUGAGAAGAAAAAAAAAAAAAAAUACUUGUAUUAUUUUUAACUUAACGACAUGAAUUGGGGUAUACCAUAUAGGUGGAGAACAUUGUCCAGAACAAUGCUACGUCAAUAACGUAUAUGGUAUCUCUGUGUUGCUCACUCUAUCCCAUCUAUCUGUUCUGCUGUGGUGUGGAACCGCCACAGUCACAACAGAGGAGAGUUUUUGUCCCCUGAUGAGUGUGCCUGUCUGCCUGGACCGGACCCCCCUGUGAGACAGGUACAGCUCUGGUCCUGGACACUUUCUUUUAGUUUAUUAGGAUCCCCAUUAGCUGUUGCGCAUGCAGCAAGCUACCCUUCCUGGUGUGUUCAUCUGUCCUUCUGCUUGCUCUUUGGGGUCUAGGUUGGGCUACUGUAAAGCACUGUGUGACAACUGUCGAUGUAUGAAGGGCUUUAUAAACACAUUUGAUUGAUUGAUUGAUUGAUUGGUCAGUUGAUUGGUUGACCGUUCUGAGUGUCUGUCCUCCAGCUGUGUGCUCCCCUAUGUGUCUGAACGCAAGGACUUGUCUUCGUCUGAACACCUGUGUCUGUCCCCGGGGCUUCUACGACGCCCAGUAGAGCUGUCUGCAGCCCUCCCUGUAAGAAUGGGGGCGUAUGCAUGAGAAACAGCGUCUGCUCCUGCGCCGAGGGAUACACCGGGUGGCGCUGUGAAAAAACCACUUGUCUACAGAAGUGUCUGAAUGGAGGAGAGUGUGUUGGCCAUAACACUUGCCACUGUCCUCCAGGCUGGCAGGGCAUGCUAUGCCAAGUCCAGUAUCACUAGUAGUUCCUGCGUGAGCUUGUUCAGCAUCCCAGCAUUAACCAGCCAACACAUGACUUUGAAGAAUGACUCGGGAGUCAUGAGAGGAACGGAAGCACUUAACUCCCUUUAUAGUGAAGUCACCCACUUUGUGAACAGAAGUGUCUUUAUGGGAGCAGAUGUAUCCACCCUAAUGUCUGUGCCUGCAGGAAAGGAUAUUCAGGGGUCCUGUGUUCCCAUAAGAUCCUCAACAGUUCUACAGCUGCGCCACUGAGAGCAUCUUGACUGGCUGCAUCACCACUUGGAAUGGCAACUGCAAGGCACCCGACUGUAAAGGCGCUACAGAGGGUGAUGAUUCCGGCCCAGUAUAUCACUCCCUGCCAUCCAGGACCUCUACACCAGGUGGUGUCAGAGGAAGGACCCCAAAAAUUGUCAAAGACUCCAGCCACUCCAGCCAUAGAGUGUUCUCUCUGCAACUGCAUGGCAAGCAAUAUCAGUGCACCAAGUCUGGAACAAACAGGACCGUGAACAGCUUCUUCCCCCAAGCCAUAAGACUGCUAAAUAGCUCAUCAAAUCGCUACCUGGACUACCUGCAGUGACCCUUUUUCGCACUAACUCUGUUGCACUGACUCUAUGCACACAAACUGGACUACCCACACACUCACACAUACUUACCCUGAAACCCCAACACACACACACACACACACUUAACAUGCGCACACAUGCAUACUGACGCCACACUCACUCACAGACAAACACACACACUUUCACACUAAACACAUACGCUGCUGCUACUGUCUGUUAUCUAUCCUGUUGCCUAGUCACUUUACCCCUAGAUAUAUAUGCAUAGCUACCUCAAUCACCUCUUACCCCAGCACAUCGACUCGGUACUGGUACUGCCUGUAAAUAGCCAUGUUAUUUUGAUUUGUUAUUGUUAUUCGUUAUUCGCUGUGUAUUUAUUUAUUUAAUUUCACUGUUAACCUACACAUGUUGUUUACGACGCGUGACAAAUGUAUUUUAUUUUAUUCUCCCUCUGUCUGUCUGUCUCUCUCUCUUUUCACCCUGUCCUCUGUUAGUCCCCAGUCUCACUGUCUGAUCUCUCUAAACCCUUCAUAUUUACCAAUAAAGUGUGCCUGUACACGUC